UUUUAAAGAGAGAGCAAGGUAAUUUCUUAGUCAUCAUUCCAGAUGUUUCUGCAGCCAAUAGUGAAAUAUUUGGGGAGAAUCUUCCUUCAUAGAAGUAACAAAAUUGAAGCAUUUCCAAACCAGGAAAUGUCAUAGAAUUUUAGAUUCUAGUUGGAUAAUCUUUGGACGAUAGUGAAUGAAUAGUAUGGUAUUAGCAAUACUCUAAUACGUAUAGUGUUUGUAAAUGUGGGCAUAGGAUUUGCAAUACUCAGUAAGCAUUGGUUUUUUUCAGGGAUCACAAGAGAAACCUACCAGAAGAUACAAAUGGUCUGACUCUGAAUGGGAAUGAAAAACAUACCUGCAUAAAAUAUGCACUAAAAGAAAAGCAAAAGUCUAACAAUAUAUAUUGAACAACUGUAUAUUCCAAAGACUCCCUGGCAAGUUCUCAUCUGUUCUGAGCAGUUGGUAUUUUCAGCGUUCUUCAUUCAGUUUGGCCAUUUUGUCUAUCCACAAGAUCUCUGAAGAGAUCAGGUGUCCAAGCUUUGGCCCAGCAAACACGUUCUAGAAACUUCUUGCCAGGGAAGCAGCCAUUCUCAGCUCAGGUAAGGUUGUUCAAAGCCAACAGCAGGUGGGAAAAUAGAAGGAAACAUUAUGGAAAUCAAGUGUACAUUAAGAAUUACCUUAUAGUAGACUUGGACACACAGCUGAAAAAUGAAAAUCAGACUCAAUUGCCCGAUGUACUUUUCUCUUUUCACAUUUGCAUGCAUACUUGGGAUAAACAAUAAUGGAGACCACCUGUGCCCAACAUGCUAUGCCAGCAGAAAUUGUUGCCUUCAGUGAGGUCUUGUUAAAAAAGCAGGUAUGUGAGAACCUGACCAUAAUAAGAAUUGGAGAUGCUAAAAGAGACCAUGUUAAAAGCUCAGGUUUUUCAGCAACUACUCAAGACCUCAAGAGUGGGCCGUGUUUGUUCCUCAGGCAGCAGGAAUUCUGCACGGCUCUAUAAACCGUAACACACGGGGUCUUUGCUUGCUUGAGGGCACUAAGAUGAUACCUGGUGUUUUAUAGAGAGCAUACGUGCUGUGCAUCGCAUAUGGCAGGGAGUUAAUAGUGGAUGAGCAGAUGAUGAAUGGCUCCAGAAAAGCAAUUUGAUGUUUUCAGUUGAAACCUCAGACACAAAUCUUGAUGUAGCAUCGCAUGUGGAAAGCACCAUGUGCCAAACCCUGUGACACGGGCAUGGGACUUCCCUAGCCUUCCAGGCGCUAAGGAAGGGGGCAGCCCAGUGCAGCCAAGCCAGGAAGUCAAUGAGAGGCAAACACAGCCUAGGAUUAAACAAACCUCUUAGUGAUCUCCUUGGCUCAGAAUCUGGAACGCAGGGCAAUUCUUUGUCCUGCCUUACAUUGGCACCCUCGUCUUUCUGCUUGGCAGUUUGUGAACUCAGUAGAGAGUUUUCUCUCUUGUCUCCCAGUCACCUCUGGCAGCUCUCAGACAUAAUGAAUAACCUGAGGGCAGGCAGCACUUCAGUCUAGCUCAAGGCUGUUCUUGCGAAAGUUACUCAGGCCCUUGGUUUUCAUAAAAAUGGGAGAUUCGCAAGGACUAGUGAAAGACAAAAUCAGCAGCAUAGGCUUCUGAUGAAACAGGUGCUACAAAUGCUCACAUAAUUACAAUCUCCAUUUUCCUUAAAAAAAAA